rnacentral:rRNA from 1 species
AAAAAAUUCCGCUCGCAGGACACGCGCCCGCAACCCUUGCUGCCUCUUCACCUUUUCUCUUCAUUCAUCCACCCCACUAUCUCCCUCCUCACCCUCCGCGUCGGCCUCGCUGAGCUCGCCACCAGGUCCGCCUUCACUCUGCCGCGUCGAUCCCCCGAGAAACUCCCGUAGCACCGUUGCCUGUCAGCCAAGAGCAGCCGACACCCGAUAAGCGUCCAGGAGCAGAUCCAUGGCGCCGGGGUGAUCUCCUUCCUUCUACCGGAAAUUUACGGGGCUAGGUCGCCGUCCUCGCCUCCUUCCCCAACCGAGCGGACGGCCGCGACGAGCCCCUCGACGACCGCUUCCUCCUCUCGAGCAGGAUCCGGAGCCGCGGGCUCCUUCUUCCUCCUCGACGUCAAGUCGCCGUUGCCGCUGGCCGAAGCUCCGUGCCGGCCUCCCUCGCCCUCCUUCGCCUCUGCUGACCUCGGAUUUGAGCCCAGGAGAAAAAAAAUGACAGGGGUAAAGCAGAAACCACACCCUAGGAGAAAAUCAAGAAAGGUUCAACAGCCAAAGAAUUCACCCAAGGAAAAGCUAAUGAAAGAGCCCGCUGGUCAAGACACUGAUGAACGGAGUGAUCUUCAAGUGGGAAGUGUUGUAGAUCCUGUUCUACCCAGUGCUAAAUUUGAACCUGAACCUCCUACUGUUCCAUUGUUAACUGGAGACAGUGCAUGGCUGUAUGCGGCUCGUGGUCUUGACCUUUCUUCUGGCACUCUGCCUGAGAAUUUGUGCACCGGAGGCGUUGUAACUUCAUAUAUUAUUGAGCAAGUUCCCAAAGAACAAUCACCAGACACUUUAUGUCAAGGGUCUUUUAAGUUUCAACAUGAUAAUGGUGGAACUGAUUCUAUUAGGUGCUCAUUCAAAUUUGCGAAGUCUGUAAUUCACGCAACGGAAUUAUACUCUGCAGCAAUUCGUGUCUCAAGUCCAGGUCUUGGAAAGAUAUAUUUCACUACAUAUUGUGUUCCUUUGGCUUGCUAUAUCGUGGUGUAUGAACCGUUGUUACAUUAUGAUGAUCUUCAUCAUAACAAAAAAGCAGAAGAUUCAAUCUGUAAUUCCAAUAAAAUUAUAAAAAAGAGGUGGCUAGCUAACAUAAGGAAUAUUUAUGAGGGCCUCGAUUUACUUCACUCAUUGCGCAUAAGUCAUCCUUUGACAAAUAAGGUGUUUAGUUACAUGUGGUGCAAGACAGAGGACGGAUCUAUUGGAUCUGUAAAGUUAAUAGGUGCAAAUGGAAGCAUGCAAACAAUGACCAAACACAAUAAUACAGUGAGUAGAGAGCGAGAUGAACGUGCGGGUGUUUUACAUUUCCUUGAGAAACUUCGUAUUGCGGAGUGCCCUGAUUAUCCGUCAUUCAGAUGGCUUGUUGAAAACAGUGUUUCUGCUAAAGCGAUUCUGGGGCAUCCACUGCUUACUAAAUCAGACGAGGCCAUAGUUGAUGUAUAUUACUGGUUACACGAGUCCGUGUUAAGCCUAGAUGGAAAUCAACGCAGUAUGUUGCAGAAUGAUCUGAAUGCCAAAUUCCCUACUUUAGCAAAUACUUGGAGAAACACAGUGAAGUCAAGUACUGCUUUUGUGGGAGUGAAAGUUGCUAAGUACUAUGAUGAUCUCUUGGAUCUACUGCGCUUUGUCAGGAAUUAUAUUGAACACAAGCGUGACGAAGCGUUAUACAUUUAUUCACGUGUGAACCAUAAGAACAUUGUCGUCGAAUUAUCAAAGGCAUUCCCGACAUUCUUGGCCUGGGUUUACACCUAUAUUAAACUUUUUUGAAAAAGAACUUGUUACUGAAGAAACAUUUCCUCUCUGUGAAGCUGGUGGGGUUAUGUAAUGAGGGCUUCAAUGGCUGGUGGCUCAGCUCAUUCAAGCGUUUAGUGUUCAGUUUAAUUGGGGGUUUGCUUGGAAGUUUAAAGAACAUUCAGUUGGCAGCUUCUUGGUUCAAACUGUCCCUAAUUUGGUCUACAUGGAACUAAGAGUGUGGUAAGAACUACAAAGUGGAUUGACUCUGCAGUAGAAAAAAUGAAGCUCUAUUCAGUCUGAGCGAGGUCUUUUCGGGUUCCAAUUUUGAUGAGACAUAGAGAUGGCUCCUCGGAGACAGAAUCCAUGUUAUGGACUGUACAACUGUGGAUAUACUAGUGUAUUGGUCACAUGGAAUUAUUAGAAUCAAGGCCAGAGUCAGGGACCCUAAGGAAAUCCCUAGAACUGCAAUUGAGGAAAUAGUGGAGGGUGGCCCUUUACUUGAUGGCAUGUUGAUCAGCAACAGGGAUAAUGUCUCUAAAGGAGGGAAUAUGACACCAAAAAGACCAAAAGGUGGCGGCUCAGAUAAUGCAUCUGUUUCUAAUGGCACUUGUACUAUGAAUGUUGAUGGAGUUAUCUCUGGUCAGUUCAGCUAGCAAGUUCACACACGGCAAGUUUUACUAUUAUCAAUGGAAGAAGUUCUGAUAUGUCCACCACUGAGGCCAGACCAGUAGGCCAUAUGGGUUGCUUCUUGAUUCUAACCACGAAGAAUUUUAUUUUGUUAGGAAGGGUUCAUUUUCUCUCUUCCGGUGUUUGGAAGAUCUGGAGCAACUUAUUUAUGGUUCUUCAGAUGAAUGGGGGAAAUCUCGGUGGUGUUGGAAUGAACUUACUGGACGACAUAUCUGACUCUGGAACCCUCAUUGAAGUCCUUAGGUGCAUGUGCCAUGUAAACCAUCUACUGGGGUGAUCUUCUGCUGCAAUAUAUUACGAGUCCCUCACCAGUUCUGUUAUAUCAUCUGAUUAAAUUGUUACUCAGAUAUUAAAGAAACUGGCUAACGUGUUUGCUCACCCCAUUCACAAACAUGGAGGCAAGUGCCUGUCGUGCCCAAGUUUAGGCAAGAGUGGCUGCACAUGUGGGGUCUGUUGAAGUAUAUGUGGAACCUACAGUUACUCCCUCCGUCCAGGUGUGUAAGUCAUCUUACGAAAAUCAGGGCUCAAAUUUCAGUAUGGGCCCACCAAGUACUAGUUGAGAUUUCAGAAGGAAGGCUUCAUGCAGGUUUGUGGCGUUCAGUUGAGCUCAGCAACAUCUCGCUGCGCGAGAAUCAUGGUCGCCAUUUGGUGGAUCUUAUGAGUAUGCUGGACAUAGCUGUUGCAUCUCUGGACAAAUAUUCUUGUGUUGAUAGGUCAACUUCUUAUCUGCACGUGCAAACUCUUAGGAAUUUCCCAAUUGAAAAACUUUAUGGAGAGGUGGUCCUGUUGUGACUUGAUUCUGUUCUUCUUUUGGAUCCUCUAGGAUUAUUUAGUUGCUCACUGAAAAGGACACUGUCAACUAUCAAAUACCUGUACAAAGCAGGAGGGAAAGUUCUUCUAGUUACCAGUCCCCCAGUUUGUUAAUCCAGUGUUCAAGUCAAUCAAAUCUUUUGCAGGUUAUUUGAAAUUCGUAUUCUAAUACGCUUAUGCCAAACUUUAUACUGAUAAGUUGUUAGAUAUGGUUGCACUCUAGGACCCAAAAACAGUUGUUCAGUUUGCAACAGAAUGAUUCUAACGUCAGUAAGCCAGGGCAUCUGACAAAGAUUACAUGUUUGAACCCAAGCCUGUAAAUAUUUUUUUAUUUGUAAACCAAAAGUAUCUGUACUAUUGGAGAAACCAAGUAAUAAUGCUAUUAGCACCCAUGCACUAAGUGUCUGGACAACUGCAUUUCUCCCUUGUAUCUUUUCUCAUACUGUUUAUGACACUACAGUGGCUUAAUUUGGUCAUGUAUUCUGAAUCACAUAUUUUAAAUGCAGCUAACUUAUCCAGAACAGCUUCUUUUGUUCGUUCUUGAUAACUGAAAAUAAUCUGUCAUAAAUGCUGAUAGUCAGACUAUAUGUCAGCGCUUCUUCAAGUAAAGGUCAUCCCGGUGGAUGGUGUCCCUUGUUUAACAUCAUGUAAGAAGGAAGAAUGGGUGCAGAAUGAUAUUAUCUUGUUUGAAAAUCUUUUGAACUUCAGGGGAGAAAAAUGCAAACUGCAAUAAUUUUUCUCAGAAGCUAGCGUCAGGUGCAGCAAUCUUUGUCAAUGAUUCUUUCUCAUUGUCUCAUAAGAUUCACGCAUCAACGGUUGGCAUCACUCGUUUCUGCUAUGCAUCUCUUGCUGGUUUCCAUUUUGAGGAGGAGCUUAUGCAAUCGCUAAAGAUCAAUGACACCACAAGGCGCCAUACAUAGCAAUAAUUGGAGGCAGUAACUUCUUGAGAAAGGCACCUGCACCGCAUCUGUUAGCCUUCAACGCGAUGGGUUGUUUCUUGUUGGAAAGUUAUCAUUUCAAAUAAUGAAUGGCCUUGGAAUUCCAGUGUCCUCCUGUUUGCUAGAAAAAAAUGCAACCAAGGAAGUGUUACAACUUAUUAAAAUAGCCCAUAAUAGGAACAUUCCUAUUUAUUAUCCAACAGACCUGUGGUGUUUGAACAGCAACAAUAAUGAACAACUCGAAAUAUUUGACUCAGCUGAACUAUUGUCUGGCUUAAUUUCUUUGGGCUGGACAUCAGUUGAUAUAGGGCCAUCAACAUUGGAGAUAAUUUUUUCUUUACUGUCAUCAUACAAGAAGAUCCUUGGAUCGGUCCUACAAGCUUUGACUUGACAGAAGAAUUUUCUGUCGGGGCAACACAGUUGGGUCAGAUACUGAACAAAGCAAGUCAUAAUAGCUGUGAUGUUAUUUUAGUAGGGGUGCAGCAUGCAAGGCAGUAAAAGGAAUAUCAGAUUCUUCAUCACUAUAUACAUCAUUUGAAAAUGAAUCUAUUGUAUGGGAAUUUCUCAAGGAAGAAUAUUGCCUGGUAUUGUAGCAUUGGAUAAACAAGCAGAUGGAAAAUAGUCAUUUCGGGUGCUUCUUUGUCACGAUCAGGGAAUCGCACCCAGUUUAGGGCCCUGACAAACAAGAAUAGAGCCAGGAAUGAAAAUCAUGCGGAUGACAAUCUACGGGAUAUAAAACCGCAGCUGGAGGGCAAUCAAGGAUGGUAUGCACGAAUUCUGAUGAUAAGAAGGCGGAAUACCUCCUGAAGCGGAGUCAGGCACGCGCUAAAAAGAAGGCUGCAACUCUUAUUUGUGCCAACUGUCAGCAAGUAUCUCAGGACCAACCUUCUUCAUUUCUGUCUCCACAACGCACACCUUUGAGCAAUAUUACCAACACACAUAAAUCCGUCAGUACAGCUGCAAGCUGUGGGAAUACUGCUCAUCAACCUGCAGAGAGCAAUGUUGAAUGCAAAAAAACAAAGUGGGGGGUGGUAUGCCCAUCUGUCCCAAGAGAAGAAAGUGGGUAGUGGAUCAACUUAGAUUUUUGGAUAUGUCCUUUAGCUGCUUCAGGCUGAGGGACCAGGGCCAGGAAUUAAAAAGCAAACAAAAGCAGGGGCCAGGAGUACAUCUCAACUUUUACUGUAUUUCUUGUUGACAACUAGUGCAGAAAUUGGAGCACCACGAGCAAGCAGGCAGAGGAGCAGAUUUACAGAGGGGUGCUUCUUCUCACCAGCAGCAACACGAGCAGGGGAGCUACGGGCGGAGGAGCAGCAACUUGCACAGGAGCAGGCCCGCUGGGAGCUUGAGGACGAGCUUCAGGUCGAGGCCCGCCUGGAGCUCCAGCUCCAGGCGCUCGAGACGCAGGCGCGCGCAGGUCCUGGACGGCGGGAAGGGAUAGCGGCGGCGCAGGCCCUGGGCGGCGGGAGGGGAUAGCGGCGGCGCAGCCCUGGGCUGGCGGGAGGGGUCACCGCUGGAGGGGAUAGCGGCGGUGCAGUGCCCUUCAGUCAUGGAGCCGCCGCCCAUCAAGGUGGUCGCCGCCGCCCAUCGAGGUGGUCGCCGCGGAGGAGUAGGUGGCCGGCGGGUGGCGCAACUCGUCUCCGUGCGGGCGGCACAGGUGGGCAGGGGUGGCGCAGGUUGGCCGUCGUCGCGCGCUGGUCCCUGCGGGUGCCGACGGUGGCUGGGGCGACCACGGUGCGCGCAGAUGUUGGCGGAAGGAGGAAGAAGAAGAGGGGGCUGAUUAGCACGAGAUUUAAAAUCCUAAGUACUUUUUUGCAAAAUUGUAAAUGAACUACACCCUGGACAACUUUUUCCGGACGGAGGGAGUAUUCUUUACUUAGGGGCAGCUGUUGUUUAAACUUAUAUGUUUUUUCUGUAGUGGCCUGCAUUCUAUAUUUGUAAAUUUACACCAAGAAUAUUGUAUGUCAAGUAAUAUCACACGUAUGUUAUGUUUGCAAUGGG